rnacentral:rRNA from 1 species
UACGUAGGGACCAAGCGUUGUUCGGAUUUACUGGGCGUAAAGGGCGCGUAGGCGGCAAUUCAAGUCAUCUGUGAAAUCUCCGGGCUUAACUCGGAACGGUCAGAUGAUACUGCUUUGCUAGAGCGCGGAAGGGGCAAUCGGAAUUCUCGGUGUAGCGGUGAAAUGCGUAGAUAUCGAGAGGAACACCUGAGGUGAAGACGGGUUGCUGGGCCGACACUGACGCUGAGUGCGCGAAAGCCAGGGGAGCAAACGGG